AUGCUUUAUUUGUGAAGUGUGGAUGCAUGUUUCUUCUUCUUCAGAACAGCUAAAACUUUAUGACUCUUGCAUCUUUUGCUUUAGUGGCAUUUAAGUUAUCUAGAAGGAAGAAUGGAGAUAUGUUCAAAUUGCUCCAUACAAUUCUCUUUUGAAGGAUAGGAAAGGUAUGUCUUACUUCAUUUAUUAUCUGUGUUUUUUGAUACAGUUGUUAUGCCAUUGACUUUUAUUUUAGUUUUUGACUUUUUGACUUUCUCAUUUUAUUUAAUAAAACGUUAAAUUUGCUAAAAGAUCAAAUAAAUCUUAAAUACACUAACUUGUUAAUGAGCCUUUUAAUUUCUCUAGGUAGUGGAUGUAGGGGAUCUAAAAUUAUUGUGUCUGGCAUGCAAAAUAUGAAUUGCGGUUAUAUUCUUAUGGUUAAUUGGAAAUAUUUUCACAUUACUAAUUAAUUUAUAAAUAAAUGAAGCUUAUUUUGCCAUUGUUAAAAGAAUAUACAAAAUGGUAUGUUUGAAAUAUUAGUCUCUUCCAGUGCAUUUUGCUUACAUAAUUUUCUCCUAAACAUAAGAAUAGGAGUGUGUGAAUUGAAAAAAUAAAAUAAAAGAGUGUGUGGAUUGAAAAAAAUAAGUAGAAAUAAAUCUUACCGGUUAACCAACAGGACCAAAAAAAAGAUUCAAUAAAGGUAGAUAGAACUUUAAAGGUCCACUAGAACAAUGUGACUACAAAACGGGAGUUGCUAUUUGCACCCCUUUUUUACUUGUAUACUAUUUAACAAAAAUAUUUACUUUUUAAUUAAAAUUUACAUAAUUUAAUAAAAAUAACUAACUUUUUUAUUAAGUAAGAAAUUAGUUAUUUUUUCCUAUAAAUGAGAACAGAUGCAACAAUUGUAAUUUGAUUUAUUUUUUCUCUUUGUAUUUUAAGAUAAUAUAUAGUUAUUAGGUGAGAUGAAAUUUGUCAUAUGUAAUUUAUACCAAUUAUUGCAUUAUUUAAUAAAUUUUAAUUAAAUAAUUUUUAUCUUAAAGUUCAUUUUAUGUAGAUCAUUUUUAUUAAAUUUUAUAUUAAUAAAUAAUUAUUUGAUACAUUAUUCACAUAGAUCAAAGUUAUAUAUAUAUAUAUAUAUAUAUAUAUAUAUAUAUAUAUAUAUAUAUAUAUAUAUAUGAGAAUGUUCAUAGGCACACACAUUUAUAAGUGCAUUAGCAAUCAACAUCAUAAAUAUUUCGCCAAAAAAUUAAUAAAUUCAUUUGGAUUAAUAAGUUUAAUUUUAAGAUAUUAUAGUAAUUUAUGUUUCAAUUUUAAAAUAAUAAUUUAUCUCUCAUCUCUCAUUUCUAUCAACAUUCAAUUUUGACACUCUCAAAUUUCCUCUUUAAUAAACAUUAAAUUAGAUUAUAUAUUGAUUUAAAAAGUAAUGAGUUUAAUUGAUUUAGAUUUAUUUACAAAGUAAUAAUAAUUGUUUUAUUCGUGGUUUGAUUUGUGGUUUGAUUUGGCAUUCAAAGAGUUGAACUGCACAUACUGUAUGGUAGUUUGAUUUAUGGUUUGCAUGAUUUGAACAACAGUUCAUUGGGAGAACAUCAAAUUAUUCUAAACAAUUAAACAUGAGAUUUGCUAUAAAUCAUGCCUUCUAAGAUUUGUUGUAGGCUUUAGAUUGCUUUUUAUGCCUUAUAAUUUUUACUUCCAGAUGUUGAACUUCAUAUGAAUUUUGUAUGCAAUAGUGACGUACUAAACUGUUUGUGACUUCUUCUCUUAGGGAAGUCAUCUACCACUGCUUUGUUGUCUGCUGUCCAACC
rnacentral:lncRNA from 1 species